CUCUUUCUUUUUUUACUUAUUGUAAGACUGAAAGAAAUAGAAACAUAAUAUUCUGUCAUUUUUAUUUUUGCAAAAUUUAAAGUUCACAAUAUCUGCACAAAACAUUUUACAUACUGUCUAGAAAGUAAAACAUUCACCUGCAGUAUUUCACACGUCUCUCUAAUCCAUCAGCCACAAAUAAACCAGUUUAACACCUAACACAGGCGUGUCCAAAGUGUGGCGCUGAGGCCAUUUGUGGCUCUUGAAAUGAUUUWGUUCAACUCCAGAAUACAAGUCAAGAAUGGUAAAAACAAUAACCAAAAAUUUUUCUUAAAUAAGGCAACAGCCUGAAGCCCUUUUUAUGUUUUGGACCUUUAAUGAUGUAUAGAUUUAAACUUAGCAAGUAAAAUAAGCAAACAAAAAAGCACAAACUAAUUCUUGCUUUUUUGAUUUAAUGAGUUUUGUGGACUGCAAAUAGUUUAAAUUAGCCAGAUUUGGUCCCUGGGACUAAAAGUUUGUGUUGCACAUAUAAUUAGUCAAUGUAGUUUCCUACAGUCAAACAGAAGAAUUCAAUUUAAAUAAGAAAAGGACCUAAGAUGUGUCGCUAAGGCCCCCUGCUGGACGUACUAAACAUCUCUAUCAAGAUGAGAGUUUUUUGCCGUUUUGGGUCAUAAUCCUGUUGGAAGACCCAUGAACUGCAGCAGAGAUCAAACUUUCUGUAACUGGUCGGCUCUUUUCUCCCCAGAAUGCCUGGAUUACUUGAUGCAGACUGAAAACCCCCUGAGCCAGCUGCAGCAAAGCAAUGAUGGAACAAAACCAGGCUUCGCCACAUAAAUUAUUCAUGACUACGAUCCCUCUCUAACUUGUUCUGCAGCAGAAUCACCUGAUAAAAUCAGAUGGGUUGGGUUGACAUUCCUGUAAAUGUGGAGGUACAUUUAAUCAGGAAGAAGCAAAGAGAGCUGAUCGACUUUACACUCUGUAUUACAAGAGCUUUGCGCAAGGAAUAAUGGGUGGAAACGGCAACUCUGAACCCGAUGAAGCAACAGGAGGAGAAGGAAGUUGGAGCUCUGCUCUCUGUGUGGCAGCAGCAGCCGUUUCUGGUUUCCUCUGGUGGCAGAAUCGAGAAACCAAGAGAAAAAUGAGAGAGAUGGAAAUUAAGCUCCAGAGAAACAGGGCCUACAUCCAAUGCAAUUAUUUGAUGUCACAUGUUGAAUCAGCACAACAUUUAUUACCAUCCAA